UCUGCAUUCCGAUUGGUCUUUCCUGCCACGGCCCCGAUUUUUUUUUUCCCCCAACCCCUCUUCGGGGAGGUCCCAACGCGCUCGCGUGCACGCGCACUCUAGCUUACGCGCCCUCCGGGCUUCCUCUCUGGCAGCCCCUCGGGCUCCCCAAUCAGCCAAGCUCAUCACCACGUGAUAUUCCGCACCUGACAGUUGGGCUGACUGGGGGCGGGGGAGUGAGAGAAGGGGGGCGUUGUGCGCGCUCCCCGCUGAGGGAGUCAUCAUUGCUGCUGGGAGGACGGAAAAGAGAAUCCCUGCCCCAACCCCUGGCAGGAAGUCUGAUGGAGAGUCCAAGUCUCAAGUCUCAAGUCUCUGAAGGAAGCUAGAGAAAGGGGGAAGCAUAUUGUCCUCUCUUUUUAAAGGCCAUUGAGAAGUUAGUUAUUCCUUGUUCAAUUGCCAAAUCUUCCCCAUGAUGGUGACCAGGGUACCAAAUAGAAGCUUCUACUUGAACAUUCUCUUUCUCAAAAUGCUAAAGCAUGUAUUCAUCGCCAUUUGGUUAUAUGUUCCAUGGGCUCACCACUAUUAAAAAUGUAAACUCCUUCAGAGUAAA